rnacentral:rRNA from 1 species
GCAGCCGCGGUAAUACGUAGGUCCGCAAGCGUUGUCCGGAAUUAUUGGGCGUAAAGCGCGCGCAGGCGGUCUCUUAAGUCUGAUGUGAAAGCCCACGGCUCAACCGUGGAGGGUCAUUGGAAACUGGGGGACUUGAGUACUGGAGAGGAGAGUGGAAUUCCAUGUGUAGCGGUGAAAUGCGUAGAUAUAUGGAGGAACACCAGUGGCGAAGGCGGCUCUCUGGCCAGUAACUGACGCUGAGGCGCGAAAGCGUGGGGAGCAAACAGGAUUAGAUACCCUGGUAGUCCACGCCGUAAACGAUGAGUGCUAGGUGUUGGGGGGUUCCACCCUCAGUGCUGACGUUAACACAUUAAGCACUCCGCCUGGGGAGUACGGCCGCAAGGCUGAAACUCAAAGGGAAUUGACGGGGGGGCCCGCACAAGCAGUGGA